rnacentral:rRNA from 1 species
GUUGAACGCUGGCGGCAUGCCUAACACAUGCAAGUCGAGCGGUUGAAGGGAGCCUUCUCCUGGAUUCAGCGGCGGGCGGGUGUGUGUUGCCUAUGAAUCUGCCUGGUAGUGGGGGAUAACGUCCGGAAACGGGCGCUAAUACUGCAGCCUUCCUGAGGGAGAAGGAUGGCGUUCUUUGGACCUCACGCUAUCCGUUGAUCCUAGGUCGGAUUAGCUAGUUGGGGGGGUAAGGGCCUACCAAGGCGACGAUCCGUAACUGGUCUGAGAGGAUGAGCAGUCACACUGGAAUGGGAACAGGCCCCAGACUCCUACGGGAGGCACCAGUGGGGAAUAUUGGACAAAGGGCGAAGGCUUGACGCAGCAAGGCGGGGUGUGGGAGGAGGGUCUUCGGAUGGUAAAGCACUUUAAGUGGGAAGAAAGGGCAGGAAGUUAAAACCUUGCUGCUUUGACGGUACCAAAAGAAAAAGCACCGGCUAACUACGUG